GAAUCUUUCAAGAUAUAUAAGAAGAGAAAGUAUAGUAUAAUUGUGUAGCCACGAAUUACAGCCCAAAAUAUGACCAGACAAAAAAGUAUAACUGUCAAGGACUCCCAAUUUCAAAAACCAUGGGUCCUAGUCCAGCAGAAACUUAGGAGAAAAACAUUAAACCGAAAUUCGUCUCGGAAAUUGGGCAUCAGAGCAUUAGAAUGUCAAUGCAACAGAGUCGCCUUAACUUAUAUAGGAAGGAGACGGCCAACAAAAAUAAGGACCAUAUCCUAAAGGUAGCUUUGGUAAAAACAGCCACUAUAUAGAAGACCCCAUUUAUCUACGCAUCCUAUUAGAUGUCAGUCCAGCAUUGAGCCCUUGCUAUAUACGCAUCGGGCAAUCUAAUCUGAAGAUCUGAAUUCU
rnacentral:misc_RNA from 1 species